rnacentral:rRNA from 1 species
ACUUUACCAUGCGGGCAACCGUGAUAAGGAAACCCCGAGUGCCAGCACAGGCUGGCUGUCCGCCAGUUUAAAUAACUGGUGAAGAAAGGGCCGGGCAAGACCGGUGCCAGCCGCCGCGGUAACACCGGCGGCCCGAGUGGUAAUCGUGAUUAUUGGGUCUAAAGGGUCCGUAGCCGGUUUGGUCAGUCCUCCGGGAAAUCUGAUAGCUCAACUAUUAGGCUUUCGGGGGAUACUGCCAGACUUGGAACC